rnacentral:rRNA from 1 species
AUUGAACGCUGGCGGCAGGCUUAACACAUGCAAGUCGAGCGAGCGGCGGACGGGUGAGUAAUGUCUGGGAAACUGCCUGAUGGAGGGGGAUAACCACUGGAAACGGUAGCUAAUACCGCAUACCAUCAGAUGUGCCCAGAUGGGAUUAGCUAGUAGGUGGGGUAAUGGCUCACCUAGGCGACGAUCCCCAGCUGGUCUGAGAGGAUGACCAGCGACACUGAGACUGUGACACGGUCCCGCCUCGUACGGGAGGCAGCAGUGGGGGACAGGGCACAAUGGGCGCAAGCCUGAGGCAGCCAUGCCGCGUGUGUGAAGAAGGCCUUCGGGUUGUAAAGCACUUUCAGCGAUGAGGCGUUACUCGCAGAAGAAGCACCGGCUAACUCCGUGCCAGCAGCCGCGGUAAUAC